rnacentral:rRNA from 1 species
AUUGAACGCUGGCGGCAUGCCUUACACAUGCAAGUCGAACGGUAACAGGGAGCUUGCUCCGCUGACGAGUGGCGAACGGGUGAGUAAUGUAUCGGAACGUACCAUUCAGUGGGGGAUAACGUAGCGAAAGUUACGCUAAUACCGCAUAUUCUGUGAGCAGGAAAGCAGGGGAGUCGCAAGACCUUGCGCUGAUUGAGCGGCCGAUAUCAGAUUAGCUAGUUGGUGAGGUAAAGGCUCACCAAGGCGACGAUCUGUAGCGGGUCUGAGAGGAUGAUCCGCCACACUGGAACUGAGACACGGUCCAGACUCCUACGGGAGGCAGCAGUGGGGAAUUUUGGACAAUGGGGGCAACCCUGAUCCAGCCAUGCCGCGUGAGUGAAGAAGGCCUUCGGUUGUAAAGCUCUUUCGGCCGGGAAAAUACGCAUCAGUUAAUACCUGGUGUGGAUGAUGGUACCGGAAGUAAGAAGACACCGGCUAACUACGUG